CUUCUCUUUUUGUGGCCUAAAAAAAAAUGAUAUCUCCGGCGAUAAUUAGAGGCCAUAAGUGUAGUUUUAAAAUCUAAGUAAUAGGUAAACAUAAUUUUAUUGAAAAUAGAGGGUUAAUGAAUGUAAAUCCAAUUGGUGAAACAAAUAGUACCUGUCAAAACUCACCUAUAAAAACUGUCUUGUCCAACUAGGGUUAGGGUUAUAGGGAGUUAGCUUGGUGAACUCACCGGAAAUGCCGCCGUCAAUGACGGCGGCAUCUUAGCCAAAUAUCCUGUGUCAUCUAUAGCCUUUUAUAGUUAAAAAAAAAAAAAAAAAAAAUACUGAUUUUGGGUAUAGGGAUUUUGAGUAUCAAAUUGGUUAUUUUUGCAAAAAGAUGAGAUUUUUAAUGAUACCCAGAUAGGAAAACAUAGCCAAGAAUGAUUUUGGGUAUGAGGGUUUGAGUAUAAUUGGUUAUUUUUGCAAAAAGAUGAGAUUUUUAAUGAUACCCUGAUGGGAGAACAUAGCCAAGAAUGAUUUUGGGUAUGAGGAUUUGAGUAUAAUUGGGUAUUUUUGCAAAGGAUUUGAGUAUAAUUGGUUAUUUUUGCAAAAAGAUGAGAUUUUUAAUGAUACCCUGAUGGAAGAACAUAGCCAGAAUGCUUUGGGGUAUGAGGAUUUGAGUAUAAUUGGUUAUUUUUGCAAAAAGAUGAGAUUUUUAAUGAUACCCAGAUGGGAGAACAUAGCCAAGAAUGAUUUUGGGUAUGAGGAUUUGAGUAUAAUUGGUUAUUUUUGCAAAAAAGAUGAGAUUUUUGAUGAGACCCAGAUGGGAGAACAUAGCCAAGAAUGAUUUUGGGUAUGAGGAUUUGAGUAUAAUUGGUUAUUUUUGCAAAAAAGAUGAGAUUUUUGAUGAGACCCAGAUGGGAGAACAUAGCCAAGAAUGAUUUCGGGUAUGAGGAUUUGAGUAUAAUUGGUUAUUUUUGCAAAAAGAUGAGAUUUUUAAUGAUACCCAGAUGGGAGAACAUAGCCAAGAAUGAUUUUGGGUAUGAGGAUUUGAGUAUCAUUGGUUAUUUUUGCAAAAAAGAUGAGAUUUUUGAUGAGACCCAGAUGGGAGAACAUAGCCAAGAAUGAUUUUGGGUAUGAGGGUUUGAAUAUAAUUGGUUAUUUUUGCAAAAAAGAUGAGAUUUUUGAUGAGACCCAGAUGAGAGAACAUAGCCAAGAAUGAUUUUGGGUAUGAGGGUUUCAAUAUAAUUGGUCAUUUUUGCAAAAAGAUUAGAUUUUUAAUGAUACCCAGGUGGAAGAACAGAGCCAAGAAUGAUUUUGGGUAUGAGGAUUUGAGUAUAAUUGGUUAUUUUUGCAAAAAGAUGAGAUUUUUAAUGAUACCCAGGGUAUGAGGGUUUGAAUAUAAUUGGUCAUUUUUGCAAAAAGAUUAGAUUUUUAAUGAUACCCAGGUGGAAGAACAGAGCCAAGAAUGGAUUUUUGGGUCAGAUGUGUAAUUAUAUCAUGCUGGGCCCUCGACUGAUACUUCUAUACUCCAAAACUAGAUUGAGGAAGAGGAUUUUAUAGUGGAGUGGAGCUUUUGAUUUAUUUGAAAAUAUUUAUGAGGUCUUUCCAUAGUAAGAAUCCAAAAUUGAGCCAAUCAAUUAAAGACCACUUCAAAUGCCCCCCAAAAAAUUAUUACUUAGCCGAAUGGUAUCAAGCUUUCCUUGAGAAGCUAAGGAUCACUUGACUUGCAAGACCAAGUUACAAACUCUCGCUCAGUUGAAGGAAUUGGUGCUAUGUAUCUCCCUAGGAUGUUUACUAGAUCGUGUUGACAAUGGAGUCAUGUUCCAAUUAUUUGUACCACCAGAGCAUGUGAUGCGGAACUUCAGGCAGAGUAGGCAGUUUAGGUUUGGAAUUUCAGGCAAUUCAGGUUAGGUAGAGUUGGGAUAUUAGGGAGAUUUGGCAAUUCAGGCUCAAAUACCUAACAACAUAUUCAGAGACAUAAAUGGACUCAUAGAAUGCUCUAGCUGAUAAAUCAGUAUUGAGAGAGAGGCCCAUCUGAGUUGGUCGUUGAGAGAGAGGCCCAUCUGAGUUGGUCGUUGAGAGAGAGGACCAUCUGAGUUGGUUGUAGACUCUGAUAAUACCCUCUCCAGUAUUCCAAACCAUCACUAAGCCCACAAUGCUCUCCCAGCGUAUGAUGGAAAAACGAUAUUCCCACUAGUUCAUAUUUCACUGAUGGUGAUGCCUGCAACACAUCCAAUAAUGCAUUUUUUGUAAGAAGGGCAGUUGAGCUCGUUUGAGGUAUUGCAGCGCAUUGGGGAGGUGGCCUACAAACUUGCCUUGUCACCGGGCUGAAAGAGAAGCUGCUGUGUUAUCACACAAAAACCAGUCUUCGAAAAUUGAUGAUAUAGUGGUUCGGAAGAUGAGGCACAAAAAGCUUAUGAAGCAACCUAGCUGAAUGUUCAAAUCAAUUGACCGCUUGGAUUUGGUAAGGCAACUCUAACCAAAAAAAAUAUAUAAUUACAAGUACAUAACUUGUCACUUUAUUGUUUGAGCAUUGUGUUGAUUUCUCAAGUAAAUAAGAAGAGAAAUUUGUCAAUUGAAAAUUUUGUUUAUCGAACGAAAAGAAAAUUAUAAAUUGAAAGUGUUUGUGAAUGAGCUCAUAAUCUAGAAGCAUAUAAUGAGCAAGCAAGAUUAUGAAAAUUUUCUCCAUCAAGAUUCAAUUAUUUGCUUUCAAUAAGAAAAGGGAGAAGAUUUAUAUAAGUUGCAAGCUCGUGUUAUGCUAUAGGUAACGUAUUUUUUAUUGACAAAUUUCUCUUCUCAUUUACUUGUGACUUGUAAUACCAUGCUCAAAAGUUAAGAGUGAAAUGUUUAUGUAUUUAUAAUGAUAUAUUUUUUUGGCUAGAGUUGUCUUGCCAAGUCAAGUGUUUAAUUGAUUUGAACCUUCGGGUGAGUUGCUUCAUGAUCGUUUUAUGCCUUAGCUUCUCAACUUACCACUAUAUCAUCAAUUCUCGGAGAGUGUGGCUACUCGAAUGCUCCUGCCACACAAUUCAGACAAUUGCUCCUCGGAAGCUUAUUGUCGACAUUGAUAUGGUUAGUUGAUCAGUUAUGUCGAAUGAUUUGCAUUUCGAAAUGAAGGAGAGGAAAACACUUGGUAUUGUCAUUCUGCAGUGCUGAAUCUCAUUUUUUGUCCAGCUGACAAGAAGCAAAGCUUGCUUUUACAUCUUUCAUCAAUGACUUUGUUUGGCGAUUCAGUAUGCCUUAGUUUUUUGUACUCAAAUUUUGUCUGUUUAUUGGUUUAUUUUUGUUGUCCUAAAAUGUACCCCUUUGUAAACUUUAUGACUCAAAUGGUGAAGUUGGUCUGGAAAUAUUUAAUGUAUUUUGCACUAUAGCAGGAUAUGCUGAAUAAAAUGCAUUUUGAUUAA